rfam:Myceliophthora thermophila ATCC 42464 chromosome 4, complete sequence.
GCCUGAUUGGCACAGUGGUACUGCGUCGCACUCGUACCGCCCUAGAGAUGCGAAGAUCACUGGUUCGAUUCCAGUAUCAGGCA